CAUUCCAUUUAUGUUGCUGAUUAUCAUGGUAACAAUAUGAGGAGACUAUUACAAGAUGAAAAUUUUUCAACGUAUUUUUCUAUUGCUGUACAUGAAAAUAAUUUAUUUUGGACAGAAAGACUGAAACAUUUUGUUGAAAAGAUUGAUAGAUGGAAACUUAAAGAAGUUGAUUUUUUAACAGCAACAUAUCCAGACAUUUAUGAUGUUCGCAUUCUUCAUUCAUCACAUCAACCACCAG